GAGGGUAUAUCUCAGUGGUAGAGCGUGUGCUUAGCAUGCACGAGGUCCUGGGUUCAAUCCCCAGUCCCUCCA
rnacentral:tRNA from 1 species